rnacentral:rRNA from 1 species
UACGUAGGGGGCAAGCGUUGUCCGGAUUUAUUGGGCGUAAAGAGCGUGUAGGCGGCCUGAAAGGUCAGCUGUGAAAACUCGAGGCUCAACCUCGAGACGUCGGUUGAAACCAUCUGGCUAGAGUCCGGAAGAGGAGUGUGGAAUUCCCGGUGUAGCGGUGAAAUGCGUAGAUAUUGGGAGGAACACCAGUGGCGAAGGCGGCUCACUGGACCGGUUCUGACGCUGAUGCGCGAAAGCGUGGGGAGCAAACGGG